rnacentral:rRNA from 1 species
ACAUACUCUAGAUCCCAAUUCAUUUUAUUUUAAUAAAUAAAAUUACUGCCAAAUCCCAACAGGAAAAACUUUACAAAUUUAAACUUAUUAAUGUAACCCAUCUCUUCUUUUAAAAGCUGCACCUUGAUUUGAUCUAAAAUAAAAUUUUAUUUUAAGAAAAUUAACUUUCUUUAGAAAUAUUCAUUUCAACAACGAUAUACAAGCAAUAUAAAAGUAAAAUAAAUCGUGGACUAUCAAUCACAGGACAGGUUCCUCUGGUAGGUUUGAGUACCGCCAAGAUAUUUAAUUUUCAAGCACUUAACUAAUACUAAUUCGGUUUCAUUAAUCACGAUAUUAAUAACAGGGUAUCUAAUCCUGGUUUAUAAUAAUACUUUUUCAGAUCAUCUAAUUUUAAUUAUUUUUACUUUUAUAUUAAAAUUUCACCCCUCAAUACAACUACUUUAAACUAUAAAUCAAUUAACUAAAACCAUAAAAAUUAAGUAGCACCUUUUGUAUAACCGCA